rnacentral:rRNA from 1 species
UGCGCAGGCGGUUGAGUAAGACAGAUGUGAAACUCCCCGAGCUUAACUCGGGAAUGGCAUAUGUGACUGCUCGACUAGAGUGUGUCAGAGGGAGGUGGAAUUCCACGUGUAGCAGUGAAAUGCGUAGAUAUGUGGAAGAACACCGAUGGCGAAGGCAGCCUCCUGGGACAUAACUGAGCUCAGGCACGAAAGCGUGGGAGCAAACA